rnacentral:rRNA from 1 species
UACAGAGGUUGCGAGCGAUAAUCGGAAUUACUGGGCGUAAAGCGUGCGUAGGCGGUCGUGUAAGUCGGGUGUGAAAGCCCCGGGCUCAACCUGGGAAUUGCAUUCGAGACUGCACGGCUGGAGUGCGGAAGAGGGAAGCGGAAUUUCCGGUGUAGCGGUGAAAUGCGUAGAUAUCGGAAGGAACAUAAGUGGCGAAAGCGGCUUCCUGGUCCAGCACUGACUCUCAGGCACGAAAGCGUGGGGAGCAAACAGG